AACAGAGGAAAGAACAUACCAAGGAAGUCGAGAUGAGAAAAGGAAGCGGCCGGGCCUGAGGCUCCAUGAGGGGAUCGUCACAUUUUGGAGAAAAUACUCAUAGCACCAGCUCCUUUUGAGACUUGAAAGUUUUACUUAUGCGAGGCCAGUAGAAAUUAAGAGGAAGAAUGACAUCAGGGGACAGCCACGUGACCAAACUGUGUUUGUAACGCUCUGUGCAAGAAUGUCUUUUAUAAGAGAAGAGUACCAUGUUCUCCAAGGCUGAUCCCAAAGGCACAACCAAGCUCCUCCCAAGUUAGAGAGUUUUCAGCAGAGUGAAGAAGUAA